UACAUAGGGUGCAAGCGUUAAUCGGAAUUACUGGGCGUAAAGCGUGCGCAGGCGGUUUUGUAAGUCUGUCGUGAAAGCCCCGGGCUCAACCUGGGAAUUGCGAUGGAGACUGCAAGGCUUGAAUCUGGCAGAGGGGGGUAGAAUUCCACGUGUAGCAGUGAAAUGCGCAGAGAUGUGGAGGAACACCGAUGGCGAAGGCAGCCCCCUGGGUCAAGAUUGACGCUCAUGCACGAAAGCGUGGGGAGCAAACAGG
rnacentral:rRNA from 1 species